AACCUUUAGUUGGUUAAUGCUACAUCAACACGUCGUUGAUUAAUCCUACACCAACACGCCAGGCUUAUUCCUGUGGAGUUAUAUAUGAGCGAUAAAAUUAUUCACCUGACUGAC
rfam:Enterobacter sp. 638, complete genome.